CCUUCACGUAUUAGAGGCAUUGCCUGCCCAGUGACUAAAGUUAAACGGCCGCGGUAUCCUGACCGUGCAAAGGUAGCAUAAUCACUUGUUCCUUAAUUAGGGACUAGAAUGAAUGGCUAAACGAGGGUUCAACUGUCUCUUACUUUCAAUCAGUGAAAUUGACCUUCCAGUGAAGAGGCUGGAAUCUCCCAAUAAGACGAGAAGCUCCUAUGGAG
rnacentral:rRNA from 1 species